ACUAGAUCUUUAUUUCUUCUUCUCUUUUCUCCUCUCCUCUUUGUCUGAUAUGUCUUUUUGUUUCUUACUCUCCUUUGGUGCAUCGAUUGGAUCUGUUUUCUAGAUAGGUUUUUUUGGUAUCUUGUAAGAUUCAGAUAUGGUUUUCUUGCAUGGAUUUGGCGAUUCACAUUGCUUUGUGUAAAAAUGUCAGUUAGGCCAAAGAGCCGGUUCAAAGCAUGAAAAACCGGAACCGAACCGGACUUAAACUGGACCGGAUUGGUUCGGUUUUCUUUGGCAUUUUUGUUAAAAUCCAAAUCGGACCGGUGAACAGUACCGGUUUCGAUUCCAUUUUUGCUUGAGAUAGCUGAAAAAAGAAAAAAGAAAAAAGAAAAAAGAAAAGAAAAGAGAAAUGACUCCCAUUGGUGACGUUGGAGAUAGCUGAAAAGUAAAACCGUGUGCUCGCCUGUACACGGUUUCCAAGUCUCUCUCUUUUCUGAGGCUGCUAGCUUUGUUUCUUCUUGUUGGUUUCUUGGCUGAUCUUGAGAAGUUGUAUUUUUUGUGAGUUUUGGUUGGCUUGCUUCGUCUACAUUUCCAUAUCUGCUUUGUUCAGGAGCAGCAGAUUGCCAAUGGAAUUGAGCACCCAAACAGCCUCUGCCUUUCGUCCUUCAUCUGAAUGGAACCACGAUGUGUUUUUGAGUUUCAGGGGCGAGGACACUCGACUGAGCUUUGUAUCCCAUUUAUACCACGAAUUGCAGCUCAGGGGCAUUAAAA